AUUGAACGCUGGCGGCAGGCCUAACACAUGCAAGUCGAACGAGUGGCGGACGGGUGAGUAAUGUCUGGGAAACUGCCUGAUGGAGGGGGAUAACUACUGGAAACGGUAGCUAAUACCGCAUACCAUCUGAUGUGCCCAGAUGGGAUUGUCUUGUUGGUGGGUUAACGGCUCACCAAGCCCACGAUCCCUAGCUGGUCUGAGAGGAUGACCAGCCACACUGGAACUUAGACACGGUGCAGACUCCAACGGACGGCAGCAGUGGGGAAUAUUGCACAAGGGGCGCAAGCCUGAUGCAGCAAUGCCGCGUGUAUGAAGAAGGCCUUCGGUUUGUAAAGUACUUUCAGCGUGGAGGCGUUACCCGAAGAAGAAGCACCGGCUAACUCCGUGCCAGCAGCCGCGGUAAUAC
rnacentral:rRNA from 1 species